AAAGAACGGAAAAAAAAAAAACUAAUCAAAAAUUUUAAAUCCAGGGAAUAUCGUAAUUGCGUUUAGCGCCCCUAUUGCUCGUGAUCGACGGGUACUUUUUGGGCAGACGGUCGGACUCGGGAGAGAGUCGGCCGCGGUUAUGUUAACUCGAGGGAAAUGGUGGUUGGCACUUUCGCUGUUAGGAGGGUUCGUGAAUGCAAGUCCAGCUACGGUCGCUCUUUUCGAUUUUGGGCCCCACUUCAGAAGGUAGUGUUUGUGGUGGAAAGAGGAAAUAUUAGCGGAAAAACAUAACUAAACCUCGCGCCAGUGCUAAAUCAAAGAAAAAAAGACAAACAAAAGAAUCGUGUUGCUUUCAAAUUAUACCAUAAAGAAAUCGAAAAGAAAUUUGCCACCCCAGUAAGGGGGCGUUCCAUUCUGACCCCACGCCGGAGGCAAGGCAUCCGAAAGUGGUCUCUUUUUUUUGUUUCGGACGGCCAUUUGCAAGUUAAUAUAACAAGAGUGCCAAUCGCCACAUAGCGAAUUGGCACGUUGUGCCAAGCAGAUUUCCAAGGGAGAAUAGCGGAAAAAGAUAAUUGGGAUCGAUGACCGAGCCGGCCGCAGCCACAACCAGCUGGCCAUAGAAAGGGAAGAGAAGAGACUGCGCUCCCGAAAAAAAAAAAAGCACAAGAACCGAUCGAAUUCGCCGCUGGCGCAGAGAAGCGCAAGGCAGAGAGUCCGCCGCUCCAGCUGUGGGUCCGACUCAGUGCAUCAGCAGCAUCGUCGGCGCCGGGAAGCUGCGAAACUAAAAGCGGAAUAUUGAACAUUUUUUUUUGGCCCCCAAGUUUUUUUGCGUAAAUAUCUUGCCCUCGGCCGACCUGGCUUAGUGAAAAAAAAGUAGAGGAAAUAAAAACCCAGAUCAAAAUUAUACCCAUGAGCCAAUAGGCAAGGUCUUACAAUUAUAGCAAGCGGAUCGUCUUCGACAAAAGCGCUUUUGGAGAUGGAUGGCACGUAAGUGAAAGAAUAUUGCUUUACUCUAAAUAAAUUGCAUGCAUGAGCGUGAGAGAAGGAGAGGUAUAGGAAAGAAAGAAGGGGAGAGGUAAAACAGUUGGGCAGAUCCACAUGCCGGAAGAGAUAGCAAGAACAGUAACCAUGGGUUUUUUGUUGUUGUCACAAAUGCUCUGUUAAAUUUGUAUGCCAGUUUAGCGGCUACCUCCUAUAUACAUAUACUGUUUU